rnacentral:rRNA from 1 species
AUGGCCUCCUCUAGCGCAGCCAACUCCACCCUCUCUGGCCAGAUCACCGAACACCUCACCCGAACCAACUACAUCCUAUGGCGAACCCAAAUCACAGCAUAGCUUCGGGGGGGGGGGGUUCUUUGGCUACGUAACGGGAGCAUGCCGGAGCCGGCCAAGGUCGUCGUCAGCAAGGACAAGGAUGGCAAGGAGGAGUCCAUCCCCAACCCGAUUCACUCGGUUUGGAUCCGAGAGGAUCAGCAGGUGCUUCGUUACCUUCUGAAUAACCUCUCCAAAGAAGUGCUUGUGCAGGUGACCUCGAUCGCUCAUGCGCACGAACUCUGGACAGCGUUAGCAAGCAUGUUCUCG